UACAGAGGUCCCAAGCGUUGUUCGGAUUCACUGGGCGUAAAGGGUGCGUAGGCGGUCGGGUAAGUCUGAUGUGAAAUCUCACAGCUUAACUGUGAAACUGCAUUGGAUACUAUCCGGCUCGAGGAAUGGAGGGGAGACUGGAAUACUUGGUGUAGCAGUGAAAUGCGUAGAUAUCAAGUGGAACACCAGUGGCGAAGGCGAGUCUCUGGGCCGAUAUCGACGCUGAGGAGCGAAAGCGUGGGGAGCGAACAGG
rnacentral:rRNA from 1 species